GUAGGUGUUUGUUCCCUUCGGGUAGGGCAUACACCUCGUGAGCCUAUUCGCGGGUCCAGGAGAGUUUCGUUCACGAGCCGUGAAACAGGUCGAAGCCAGUUUAUCAUGAGACAGCGCUUCGAUGCGGAUCACCGCGGCCCUUCUUCCGGUUACGCUCAGUAUAUCUGUGCGGUUACUACCCUUUUCUCUUACACCUUGCUCUUUUCAUCCUCAUAAAUUAUCCGGAAUUCUUCAUAAAUAAUUCACGCUGUUGUUACGACUUGUUUCGCGCACGCGCUCCUUCUCGUUAACGGAAUUUUCCAACGUUGUGCUUUGUAAGUUUCGUUUAGAGUCAGUGGAAAAUUGAAUUUUUUGUGGGGCUUUGUUAUUAGUUCUGGCGAACUUACUCCUCACCAGAAAAUUAAACCACGAGGUAUGCGGUUGAAAAACGUGAAUCAUGGCGCAUCUUACGAGCAUCAGAAACUGUGCAUCGAGCCCUCAGUGCCAG